rnacentral:rRNA from 1 species
AUACAAGUUGAUCCGUAUGAUCACAUAUAUAAAAAUUUGCCAAGUGGUCAUCAUGUUUUGGAGGCAGUACCCAAUUGCAGAUAUUGCACCGCAAAAAGGUUUCAGUAUGAGAAACCAACUUUUUGUUGCAUGGGUGGCAAGUUCAAGUUAGUGACUCCACUUGUUCCUGAAGAAAUGCAUCGAUUGUACACAAGUCAAGAUCCAGAAGCAAGGUAUUUCCAAGAUAACAUAAGGUACUUCAAUUCACACUUUUCUUUUACCUCUCUUGGGGUUAUGCUGGAUCAACGAUAUUGCAAUAAAAGGUUUGGAGUUUACACUUUCCGUGCACAAGGUCAGAUUUACCACAGGAUUGACCAAUUGGUUCCAACAGGGAUGGGCCCAAACAUCUACAAUUGUAUUUUUAUGACACAGAUUUUGAUUUGCAACAUAGAUUCCGAUACUCUCCUAAUCUUGAUAAAGUUCUUAUCCGGAAAUUGA